UCUUCAUUUCGGUUCUGCUGAAGAAAGAAAGUCAUACACAUCUGGGAUGGCUUAAAGACGCUUUUAUCCAAAGCGACUUACAGUGCACAGGGACAAUCCCCCCGGAGCAACCUGGAGUUAAGGGCCUUGCUCAAGGGCCCAACAGUGGCAUCUUGGUGGUGCUGGGACUUGAACCCCCAACCUUCUGGUUUGAAAGAUACGGAGACCCUUAAAAGGACAGAGGGGGAUGAUUUUUUCAUACUUAAACCGUGAUAGUAAAACCAUUGUAAUAACAAAGGACAAUGAAAAGUAUGGUGA